AGUGAACGCUGGCGGUAGGCCUAACACAUGCAAGUCGAACGGCAGCACAGUAAGAGCUUGCUCUUACGGGUGGCGAGUGGCGGACGGGUGAGGAAUACAUCGGAAUCUACUUUUUCGUGGGGGAUAACGUAGGGAAACUUACGCUAAUACCGCAUACGACUUACGGGUGAAAGCAGGGGACCUUCGGACUUUGCGCGAUUGAAUGAGCCGAUGUCGGAUUAGUUAGUUGGCGGGGUAAAGGCCCACCAAGGCGACGAUCCGUAGCUGGUCUGAGAGGAUGAUCAGCCACACUGGAACUGAGACACGGUCCAGACUCCUACGGGAGGCAGCAGUGGGGAAUAUUGGACAAUGGGCGCAAGCCUGAUCCAGCCAUACCGCGUGGGUGAAGAAGGCCUUCGGGUUGUAAAGCCCUUUUGUUGGGAAAGAAAAGCAGCAGGUUAAUACCCCGCUGUUCUGACGGUACCCAAAGAAUAAGCACCGGCUAACUUCGUG
rnacentral:rRNA from 1 species